AUCGUGCAAUGCUUCAUGCCCAGUGCCGUUCACUCCCAGGUCGUUUUCUCUUUCAGCUGCAAUGCCGGGAUUUUAAAUAGCAGAAAUGAAAGGCCCCUGCCCCCGCCUCCCUCCUCCCCUGAGUUCAUGUAUUAUGAAUGAAACGCCAGCCUCGCUGCUUCCCUGAGGUUGCUCCACUUCAGGUUCCAAGUAGAGUGUAAUGGAAAGAGUCUGGACCCUGGUGCUAUUCCCAGUUCCUCUGCUAACUUGCUAUGUGACCAUAGUCUCUCGGUAGAUCCUUCAUCUCAUCAGUGAAGUGGAGUCAGUACUACCACCCACUUUGGAAGAAUUGUUUUGAAGAUUAAAAGAGUUACUGAUCAUUUA